rnacentral:rRNA from 1 species
AACACAUGCAAGUCGAGCGGUAACAGAGAGUAGCUUGCUACUUUGCUGACGAGCGGCGGACGGGUGAGUAAUGCUUGGGAACAUGCCUUGAGGUGGGGGACAACAGUUGGAAACGACUGCUAAUACCGCAUAAUGUCUACGGACCAAAGAGGGCUUCGGCUCUCGCCUUUAGAUUGGCCCAAGUGGGAUUAGCUAGUUGGUGAGGUAAUGGCUCACCAAGGCGACGAUCCCUAGCUGGUUUGAGAGGAUGAUCAGCCACACUGGGACUGAGACACGGCCCAGACUCCUACGGGAGGCAGCAGUGGGGAAUAUUGCACAAUGGGCGCAAGCCUGAUGCAGCCAUGCCGCGUGUGUGAAGAAGGCCUUCGGGUUGUAAAGCACUUUCAGUCAGGAGGAAAGGUUAGUAGUUAAUACCUGCUAGCUGUGACGUUACUGACAGAAGAAGCACCGGCUAACUCCGUGCCAGCAGCCGCGGUAAUACGGAGGGUGCGAGCGUUAAUCGGAAUUACUGGGCGUAAAGCGUACGCAGGCGGUUUGUUAAGCGAGAUGUGAAAGCCCCGGGCUCAACCUGGGAACUGCAUUUCGAACUGGCAAACUAGAGUGUGAUAGAGGGUGGUAGAAUUUCAGGUGUAGCGGUGAAAUGCGUAGAGAUCUGAAGGAAUACCGAUGGCGAAGGCAGCCACCUGGGUCAACACUGACGCUCAUGUACGAAAGCGUGGGGAGCAAACGGGAUUAGAUACCCCGGUAGUCCACGCCGUAAACGAUGUCUACUAGAAGCUCGGAGCCUCGGUUCUGUUUUUCAAAGCUAACGCAUUAAGUAGACCGCCUGGGGAGUACGGCCGCAAGGUUAAAACUCAAAUGAAUUGACGGGGGCCCGCACAAGCGGUGGAGCAUGUGGUUUAAUUCGAUGCAACGCGAAGAACCUUACCUACACUUGACAUACAGAGAACUUACCAGAGAUGGUUUGGUGCCUUCGGGAACUCUGAUACAGGUGCUGCAUGGCUGUCGUCAGCUCGUGUUGUGAGAUGUUGGGUUAAGUCCCGCAACGAGCGCAACCCCUAUCCUUAGUUGCUAGCAGGUAAUGCUGAGAACUCUAAGGAGACUGCCGGUGAUAAACCGGAGGAAGGUGGGGGACGACGUCAAGUCAUCAUGGGCCCCUUACGUGUAGGGCUACC